rfam:Gossypium raimondii chromosome 1, whole genome shotgun sequence.
AUUCCAUGAUGGGAGCACUUCCGUAAUAAUUCUUUGUACCUUUCCCACGCCUCAUACAAUGACUCAUCAUCCGUUUGUUGGAAAGCAGUGAUCUCGUUCCUCAACUU